rnacentral:rRNA from 1 species
GAUGAACGCUAGCGGCAGGCCUAACACAUGCAAGUCGAGGGGUAGAGUUCUUCGGGACUUGAGACCGGCGCACGGGUGCGUAACGCGUAUGCAAUCUACCUUAUACAGGGGAAUAGCCCAGAGAAAUUUGGAUUAAUGCCCCAUAGUGUUAUCGAAUCGCAUGGUUUGAUAACUAAAGUUCCAACGGUAUAAGAUGAGCAUGCGUCCCAUUAGUUAGUUGGUAAGGUAACGGCUUACCAAGACAAUGAUGGGUAGGGGUCCUGAGAGGGAGAUCCCCCACACUGGUACUGAGACACGGACCAGACUCCUACGGGAGGCAGCAGUGAGGAAUAUUGGUCAAUGGGCGCAAGCCUGAACCAGCCAUGCCGCGUGCAGGAAGACGGUCCUAUGGAUUGUAAACUGCUUUUAUACAGGAAGAAACGGUUCGCUUUAAUACAGUGGGCUAAUGACGGUACCGUAAGAAUAAGCACCGGCUAACUACGUG